GGAUGUCAGGAAGCAUGGUAAUGUGCACAGAAAUUGAUUUGGAUCUCUAGGCCUGCCCUUUCUGAUGCUGUCGGCUUUGAUUUAGGGGCAUGGUUUCGCAGUAAAACG